rnacentral:lncRNA from 1 species
AUGGCUGACAUCUGGAACUCACUUGCAAGCUUUUCUCAUUCGAAUAUUGGUAGCCACAGCUCUCUACUCUCCUUCUCUCCAAGACGUAGCCACGCUUUCUCUAUCCACACCUCAUGGAACAGAGGAAGGAGAUGUUGGAAUGCGGAACGAUGGCAGGGCAGCUGCAGUGGCCUCCACACAGCCAGAGCAAUACUAAUGCAGUCGGUUUUGUCAUCUCUCCAAGGGACCAUAUGGCUUUCUUCAUGUGCCACUGCACCUUUAUCUCAGCAGAAUCCUAAAGCCCACAAAUGCCCCAUCACUGUGCACUUUGCAGCAGGGACACCCCACAGGCUCCUAGGCACUGCUGCCUGGAGUACUGGAUGGAGCCUCAUCAGACCAUCCAGCUCCAAGAAACCACGCCACGUCAGAUAUUGCCAAGCCAAACACACCAGGUUGAUCAAAAGAUGGCUCUGGACAGAGAGGAUGAAGAUAGCUGGAGGUGUGUAA